rnacentral:rRNA from 1 species
UACGUAGGGGGCGAGCGUUGUCCGGAUUUAUUGGGCGUAAAGAGCGUGUAGGCGGUUCGGUAAGUCUGUCGUGAAAUCCUGAGGCUCAACCUCGGGCGUGCGAUGGAUACUGCCGGGCUAGAGGGUGGUAGAGGCGAGUGGAAUUCCCGGUGUAGCGGUGAAAUGCGCAGAUAUCGGGAGGAACACCAGUAGCGAAGGCGGCUUCCUGGACCAGUACCGACGUUCAGGCACGAAAGCGUGGGGAGCAAACAGG